rnacentral:sRNA from 1 species
ACGGGCAAGGGCCGCCAUUUUGACUGAGCAACCCUAGUGACAGGAGCCGAAGCAGCAGCGCAGGAUCUGCCCCAGAGAAAGUCCUCGCUCGUCACCAGCAAGCUUGCGGGGUAACCUGAGCCCCCCUCUCCUCCCCUUCCUCAACCACUGGACUUUUAUAUAUUAUAGGCAGGGAUGAAAUGGGCACCUAGUCAGAUCUUCUCAGCUUGCUAGCCAGAAAUGACUGUGAUUCUGCUGGGGGCUGCUGAGAAGGUAAUGUAGGUUGAAAAGGGGCUCUAAGUUUAUUUAUUUCGUUAGAUUGACACUUCCACACACUCCCUGUAGUCCAGGUAGGGCCCAGAAAUAGGAAAGGCUAGGAUUGGAUAAUGCUGCAAAUGCUUUUUUUGUGUGAGAAACUGGAGAGGUGUGAUUUCUCCUUUUGGGAGAGAAUGUCCCAAAAUUGAUUAGGCUGAGCCUUGGGAAUAAUUUGGCAGGUUUAACAUCCCGAGGCUAACCUAACAUAGUUGGCAAAGGUAGAUUGAAUGAGACAUGUUUUCUGUGCUUCUAAGUGUU